AACGAACGCUGGCGGCAGGCCUAACACAUGCAAGUCGAGCGAGGACUUCGGUCCUAGCGGCGGACGGGUGAGUAACGCGUGGGAACGUGCCCUUUGCUUCGGAAUAGCCCUGGGAAACUGGGAGUAAUACCGGAUGAGCCCUUUGGGGGAAAGAUUUAUCGGCGAAGGAUCGGCCCGCGUUGGAUUAGGUAGUUGGUGGGGUAAUGGCCUACCAAGCCGACGAUCCAUAGCUGGUUUGAGAGGAUGAUCAGCCACACUGGGACUGAGACACGGCCCAGACUCCUACGGGAGGAAGCAGUGGGGAAUCUUAGACAAUGGGGGAAACCCUGAUCUAGCCAUGCCGCGUGAGCGAUGAAGGCCUUAGGGUUGUAAAGCUCUUUCAGCUGGGAAGAUAAUGACGGUACCAGCAGAAGAAGCCCCGGCUAACUCCGUG
rnacentral:rRNA from 1 species